UUUGAGGGUGUAGCUCAGCGGUAGAGUGUGUGCUUGCCAUGUUUGAGGCCUGGGUUCAAUCUCAGCAGCAAAA
rnacentral:tRNA from 1 species